AAGAGACAGCAGCAGCCGCGGUAAUACGUAGGGCGCAAGCGUUAUCCGGAAUUAUUGGGCGUAAAGAGCUCGUAGGCGGUUUGUCGCGUCUGCCGUGAAAGUCCGGGGCUCAACCCCGGAUCUGCGGUGGGUACGGGCAGACUAGAGUGAUGUAGGGGAGACUGGAAUUCCUGGUGUAGCGGUGAAAUGCGCAGAUAUCAGGAGGAACACCGAUGGCGAAGGCAGGUCUCUGGGCAUUAACUGACGCUGAGGAGCGAAAGCAUGGGGAGCGAACAGGAUUAGAUACCCCUGUAGUCCCUGUCUCUUAUAA
rnacentral:rRNA from 1 species